rnacentral:lncRNA from 1 species
UUUUCACGUUUUCUAUUUUAGUACUUUAUUUUGUUUUAUUUAUUUAUUUAUUCUUUUACAUGAUCUAUACUUUAAAUUACAUUUAAAUUUUAAUUUAAUCAUUCAUUUAUUUAAUUUCACCCCUUUUACUUACCUUUUUUUUGUUUUUUAGCACUUAAAAUUUAUGUUAUUUAUAUUCCUUUUUACUAUGCUUUUUUUUAGAUGGUUAUUACACAUUUAUUUAUUUAUUUAUUUUGGUAUUAUGAUAGUAAGCAUGUUAUAACCAUUGCCAUUAGUAUUAUGAAUUAAUGUUUUUAUUACUAUUAUAGUUGCAUUAUUGUUUACUAGUAUUGUAAUGGCCUAAAUUUAAGGUUAUCGGAACAGUGGUUUCGUAGCCACAAAUCUGAUUUAAGGAUAAAUUUAUUUUAAUAUUUUUGCACGAAUAUUGAUAUGAUAGGAAAAUCGUAUGAAAAUAUCGAUAGAAAAAUUUUACCGAUUUAAUGGUUAGUUAGAAAAAGAAAUUAUUGAAGAAAUUAGGUAAAAACAAGGUAUUGAGACCUCGAUCUCGUAAAACCAAAUCAAAAAUAUUUUUAUAAAUAUUUAUGAAAUGUUAGUAAUAUGGUAUUAAAAUUUCGUUAGAAAAUUUUAACGUUUGGGUAGUCAAUUAAGUGAAAAUGACUAAAUUGAAAAAGGUGUAAAAGUUACUAGAAGGACUAAAUAGCUCAAUUGUUAAAUGAGAAGGUACAUAAAUUGAAAAUAAGCCCAAAAGGAGAUAUUUUCGGUGGCAUAAGCUGAGAAAAAUCAGGAGAAUUAGUGAAAUGAGGGUAAAAUGAGACCAAAUUGGAAUAUCUAGAAUUCUCUUUAUUUUUCUGCAUUCUCAUCAGCCAAAAACGUCUUAAGGGUUUAUUCAAGCUGGUUUUUCAUAAUUUUUGCACCAAGUGAGUUAAUCCUUGCCUUUUUCUUGUAAUUUUUGUGUUUCUAAGACUUUUACAACUACGUCCUAUUACUAAAUUCAUUAGUUUUUGAUUUUAUGAAUGAAAUUGAAAGUUGCUAUGAAUAUGUGGUAGAAGUUUAUGAUAAAAUAGUAUGAAAUUGAAGCUUUAAUUUGUUUAUGAGAUGAUUUUAUUAGGUAAUUUCAAUAGAAAUUGAUUUGUAGGACUUAAUUGUGAAAAAGUUUGGAAUUAAAGUCUAGUGCUAAAAUUCUAAUUUCCAAAGGUUAUAAAAUAGUUUAAAGUGAUGUAAUAAAGUUUUAAUUGAGAAAAAUCAGCUCAAUUGAGAGGUUAAUUGAGCAGGGAUGAAAUUAUCAUUUAUUGAAAGCUUAGGGGAAAAUGGUAAUUAAUAUCAUGCACUAAAAUAGUUUUGGACAGCAGCAGUAGGUUAACUUUGAAAAAUCACCAAAAAUUAUAGAAAUUGAAUUAUAGGAUGAAUAAAAUAUGAAAUUAAAGCUUAUUGAGUCUAAUUUCUUGUAAAAGAAAUUAAACGAUGUAAGAAAUGAAAUUGUAAAUCAUGAGAUAUAAUAGAUUUUGUGAGACAAGGUCAGAACGAAUUCGGGUUCCCCUAUUCUAACUUUAUAAAAUCAUUAAAAAUUGUAAAAAAUGAUUACGAGUUAUAAUUUAUAUGCUUAGAAUCCUUAAUGAGUCUAUUUUCAGAAAAAAAAAAAACAAAUGGAAACAUCAACUGAAUUCUGUACAAUGAGAUAAUUAAUUUUUAGUGAAGAGGGGUCGGAACUGUCAAACAAUGAAACAGGGGAAAAUUUAAAGAAUAAAUUGUACUUAUUGGCUAAACCAAAAAUUCUGAAAAUUUUAUGGUAAGAAUAUAUGUGAGUCUAGUUUUGGAGAUAAUUAGAGGAUCUUAAUUUGGAGUUCCGUAGCUCAAGAUAUAAAUAAUUUAGUGACUAUGACUCAGUGAGACAGCUUUGAAUGCACUAUAAAUAAUAAUGAAAUUAUAGAGAAUGUUACAUAUGAACAUGAAAUGUAUUAGAUUAAUGAGUAAAAUUAUUUAUUUAGAUCCAGAAAAUUCAAAUAUGAAGCUAGAUCGAGGAAAAGAAAUAGUUCGGGAUUAGUAGAUUUUUGUUUACGAACAAGUAUCGAGGUAUGUUCGUGUAACUUGAAUUAUAUUCUUAAAUGCUUGAAAUAUAUUUUUAUUGAUGUGAAUAUGAUUUGGAUGUUUAUUGUAUGAUAAUUGAUGAAGUAUUGAUAUUCUUGAUGAAAAGAGAAAAUAAAUCUCGGUUGAAUGGAAGGAAAAUUAUAUGGAUCUCUGAAAAGGAAUUGAUGGUAAAAAAGAUCUAGCCCUGACGGAUGAUCCUAUCCUGAUAUAGCCCUCCCGAAGAAUAUGUGGAAAAUGGAUUUUGCCCAGACGGGUAAUCUGAAUUAGGGUCUGAAUUUAGCCUGGACUGGUAAUUCAGAUCCAAGCUCAUUAGAGUAAUUGUCAUUACAGGGGAUUUAGCCUGGACUGGUAAUCCCGACAAUACUCUAUGAGUUUAUAUUACAGGGGAUUUAGCCUAGACUGGUAAUCCCAUUGUAAGGAUGAGGUUCGCGGGAGUGUGCUCUCUGAAAUGGAAAUGUGCGCACUUGAAUAUGAAUUGACGGACCCGAAUUUGUACACUUAGGUGUACCCCUGAAAAUCCAUCGAAAUUCCAAGUAGUUCAACGGGAUAAAUAUGGAAAAAUAACAAGGGAAUGGAAAUCAUGGAAUUGAUGAGCUCAUCAAUCAUGGUAUAUAUUAAUGAUACAUGGAAAUUAUUGGACUAAUUUGAAUGUUGAGUUGUGCAUGAUAGGGGAAUAAUGUAUUGAAUGGGUGUAUGAAUGUUUAUCGCAUUGUAUUUAAAAUAUUAGGCAAGUAUAAUUCUUGUUACAUGAACUUACUAAGCACAAAGUGCUUACCCUGUUUCUUUUUCCCCUGUUUUGUAGUGUUAAGAGCUCGGAGGUCGGAUUCGGUCAGAGACGUAUCACACUAUCAACCUCAAUAUUUUGGUAUAUAAAGAAACUUUAUUUUGGAAAUCAAUGGCAUGUAUAAGCUAAUAAAGUAAAUGUUAAUGUGAAAUGAAUGUAAGGUUAGCCAUUCGUAUGGCUAACAAAUCUUGGUUUUGGUAUGUGAUGAGGUUAUCUUAUAAAUAUGUUUGAAUCUAUCUUGAAAAUAUGUUGAAAUUGAUUGGUUGGUUUGGAUUAGUCUCUAGUUAAAAUUGCAGGGAAGGUUAGAAAUUUAUAAAUAGGUUAUAUUGAGUUUAAAAAAUAUUUUUAUGAAUUCGAUAUAGUCUCGGUUUAUUUUCGAUGUAUGUUUUAGGCUUCGAAGGUCCAUCGAAAGGACGUCAUGGCAUGUUUCGAUAAAUGAAUAGUAUUUAACUCGUAAUAAUGGACAAUUAAUUCGGUAAAAUCUGGUAAUGCAUCAUACCCUAUUCCGACGACGAAUACGGGUAGGGGGUAUUACAAGUAUGGUAUUUAUCUAUUUAUCUAUUAUUUAUUAUUCUAAUAUCGUUGUUUUAUCCACGUGGCUAUUUUACAUUAUUAUCACUGUACAAUGUAUCGUGUUUAAAUAUAUUUAUCCAUUUUCAUACUAUGCCCAAAUAAGUUAAAUGCACAUCGCUUUAAAUGUUAUAUUCAUUUUUACCCGAUGCAUAAGAAAGGAAAUUUUUAAAAAACGAGGCACUGUUCUUUAUUUAGAGAUUUGAAAAGUUGUGCCCUAACUUACGGGUUUUGAAUUUCUCUUUUAACCUAAAUAAUCGAAUAUCUUUUUUAAAACUUAAGAUGCCUAGGAUUUAGGUAAUAAUUUAAUGACGAUUUUUAGUGUUUUCGAGAAUUCUAGAUUUUGUACCGCAACUUACGGGACAUGAUUUUUUGUCUUGAUCGAUUCAAAACGAGAAAGUCUCCUCAUUAAAAAUUUAAUUUAGAUAGAGACAUUUUCAAUACCAUCAAAUAACAUCAUGUGAAAGGGAUCGCAUUUUAAAUCCUCUUUAAAUUCUCAAAUUUUAGACGCUAAGACACCAAGUAAUCAAUUAGGUACUAAUUUUGGGCGUUAUGAGGGUGUUAAUCCUUCCUCAUAUGUAACCGACUCCAGAACCUAUUUCUCAAAUUUUGUAGACAAAAAAUUAUCGUUUUAGUAAAAUUAACCUUUUAAUAAAAAUGAUUAAAUUUUGAGGUAACACAAUUACACCUAAUAAAAAGGAUUGGUGGUGACUCCAUCUUCGUUUUUAAAAUAAAAAGUCAAUUCAAAAAAAGGGUUUCUCACAAAAAGAAGGUUCGUGAAAUUUCGAAUGCAUGGAAUCAAACUCACAAAAUAAAAAGAUUUGUCGUAAAUCCAUGACAACCCCAAAAUACGAUUGGUGGUGGGGUACAAGAAUCAACAACAAUGUCCCUUCAUCAAGUCAAGAAAGUACUUGCCCGAUAUAAGAACACUUGCAAGUGAUCCCGUCUGAAGUAGAGAUCGUAAAGAAAGACUUCGAAAAAAAGAGUUUGAAACUGGGGAAAAGGAUAGGGAAGUUGGAAGAGGAAAAAAUUCAGCUAGGAUUAGACAUUGACGUCCAAAAGUUGGAAGCCGAGAAAAUAAGAAAAGGAAAGAACAAAGCUGAGGAAGACUUGGACAGUAUAAAAAAAGAUUAUAAGAAACUUCGCUUGUCAAUAAGGACUGCCGGGUUGGGCAAAGCAUUAGGACAAUGGAGACAAGAAAUCCAAGAAGAAAAUAUUAAACUCGAUCAGUGGGAAAAAAAUUUUCUAAGAUGCUCGAGUCCGAGAGGAUGCCCUGAAAAGGGAACUGUUAAAAAGCUAAGAUGAACAGAUUGGAUUGAAAGCUUGAGUAGUGGAGUUGGAAAGGUCUCUGCAUCAACAUCAUAGUCGCAACUCUGUGGUUGAGUUGAAAGCAAGCUUGACUAAAAUUGAUGAGUUGAAGAGAAGGAUGGAAGAGCUUGAGGCCGCACUAAAAAAUUGUGAACUUCGAAUUGAGCUUCUUGACACAAACAAUGAACAUUAGAAAGAGCAACUUCAACGCUCUCAAGGUCAGAUCAGGGAUAGAGAUCACAUUAUGGGCGAAGCUUUGACUCAAGUAUGGAAAGUAGCCGACCAUUUGCAAACCCUAGCGAUUCAAGCUGAUAUGUUGAGUUUGAGAUACGAAUCGAAAUCAAAUCGGGGCCAAGAAUUAGCUUGGCUUUUUAGGAAAGUUAAGGAUUUGAGUAUUAGGGCAAUGUCGUAUAUGUAAAAUAUAUCUGUUUUAUGUAAAGAAUUUUAUUUUCUAGUAAAGUUGUUCUAAUGGAGUUGAACCAGAAUCAAUGCCUUUUUUUCAUUUAUUUUCAUUUCAUUUCAUUUCAUUUCAUUACAUGCAUUAAAUUUCAUAAAAAGACCCUAAUUAAUCGAAAUUAUGAUAGUUAUCCUGGAAACCAACAAGAAUCUGCCAACUGAAUAUCGUUAUGGGACCCACGAUAAAACCAGAGCCGUGGAUCAAAGGUUAGAGAGACUAGAACAAAUUCAGAAAGACAUACAAGACCAAUUGCAAGCAUAGCUACAGGGCCAAUUAGCUAAGGUGCAACAAGACAUGAAUAACCAAACACAGGAGUCCCGAAGAAGCUUAAUAAACCAGUUGACCUAGUUACUGGUCGGAGGGAUUGAAAAAGGGAAGAGUAUUGUGAUUCACUCUGAUGACGAGAAUGAAGGCCCUACGUAUCUCCCGGGCUUUACCCUAGUGAAUGUUCAAUCCAACUGGAUAUAUAUCCACGAAGAGUACUCGUUACCAUAUGACCACAACAAUACCAGGCCGGCACCUCAAUACCGGUGAAUUACUCAAUGGGUUUAGGUUCCAAUCACGAAGAUAAUCCAACCAACCUCGUUGUUCCAAAUUUAGACGACAUGACAGAAACAGAGAGAGCAAGAAUAGGAUUGUCAAAGUAGCUAGAAGAUCAGUGCAGGUGGUUGGAGGAGAAAUUCAAAGCUAUGGAGAGUGUUGAUUACCUUCGCGAGUCGAUGCCAAGGAAUUGAGUUUAGUCUCGGAUCUAGUGCUCUCACGAAAAUUCAAAACUCUAAAAUUCAAAAAAUUCAAUGGGAGUAGUUUCCUUAAAGCCCAUAUCACAAUGUUCUGCCAAAGAAUGACGGGAUACGUCAAUAAUGACCAAUUAUUAAUCCAUUGCUUUCAGGAUAGUUUGAUCGGGUCGGCUGUCAAAUGGUACAAUCAGCUGAGUUGUGCCAAGCAAUUCAUGGAAAGACUUUACACGUGCUUUCAUGAAACAAUACAAUCAUCUGACCGGUAUGACACCCGAUAGAAUUACUCUGCAAAACAUGGAGAAGAAGCAAAAUAAAAGCUUUAGGCAAUAUACUCAAAGAUGGAGGGAGGUGACAACACAAGUUCAUCCACCUCUUCUAGAAAAGGAGACGAUAAUGCUUUUUAUAAACACUUUAAAAUCCCCGUUCAUUAACCAUAUGCUGGGUAGUGCUACCAAAAGCUUCUCAGAUAUAAUUAUGUCCGAAGAAAUGAUUGAGAAUGCAAUAAGGAAUGAAAAAAUAGACGCGGGGGAAAAUGCUAAAAGGUCUGCCCCGAGAAAGAAAGAAAAUCAAGUAAAUACCGCAAGUGUGUACAAUAAGAGCUAUUCAAAAUCGGUCACUGUGGGUCAACCAAGGACCAUGACAACUAGCCAUCAAGGCCCUUCGAUGUAAGAAUCUAAUUUAAGGCCAAACACAGAAAAACUCUAAUUCACACCUAUCCCGAUGACAUAUGGAGAGUUAUAUUAGAAUCUGUUCAACACACAUGUAAUAUCCUCAUUUUACUUAAAGCUCAUACAACCUCCAUUCCCAAAGUGGUAUGAUACGAAUGCUCAAUGCGAGUAUCACGCAGGAAUAAUGGGACACUAGAUUGAAAACUGCACUGUAUUCAAGUAGUUGAUCAAGAGGUUUAUCAAGAUGAGGAUUGUAAGGUUUGAUGAUCCGUCAGGGACUAAUGUGACAAGAAAUCCAUUACCCAGUCAUUCUGACCAAGGGAUAAACGCGAUAAUCGAGAGUAAGGGAAAUAAGACCAAAAUUGAUGUUACGGAGGUGAAAUCCCCUUUAAAAUGGGUUUGGCAAAAAAUGAUGGAUGUGGGAUUGAUCAUUCAAUAUUCAAAGGAGAUACCCAAAGGAGUGAGGAACUACUGUAAGUUCCAUGCUACAGAAGGUCAUGAGAACCAAGAGUGCACCAGAUUCAGGGCUAUAGUGCAAAGUCUGAUAGAAAAAAAGAUUUGGAAUUCUUUGAAGAUAUCGAGGGCUCAAGAGGAGAAGAUGUUUGUGUCUCUGAAGAGGGAUUAUCAGAUAAAAUUUACAAAGUUAACCACCCAGUGGUGAUUAUUUCCCAACCAAAAGUUAAUAAAGUAGGAGUACAAGCUAGGCCAAGAAUCAUAAUUUAGAAACCUAUAGCUUUUCCCUACAAGGAUAGCAAAAGGGUUCCAUAGAAUUAUAAUUGCAGUAUGAUGAUUCCAGAAGGAGAGAACUCGGUUGGCACUUCAAAAGGGGUUUAGGAUAUUGGUUUCGUCACACGCAGUGGGAAACGCUAUGACCUACAAAUGCAAGAACCGAACCUCAUAAGUAAAAAACCUUGGUAGUUGAGCAAAAGAAAGAGAAAAUAGCUAGACUUGAAUCACCUGUCAAUGAGCCUGUAAUAAAAAAUGAGGCAGAAGAAUUCUUGAAGUUAUUGAAACAUAGCGAGUACAGUGUAGUAGAGCAACUACACAAACAACCGACUCGUAUAUCAGUAUUAGUCUUACAACUGAUCUUAAAGACACACCGCAACUCAUUGAUGAAGGUCUUAUGAACAAGUUAGAUCAUUUGGUUAAUAAUAUAAGUGCUCAUAAUUUCAUCUUCUUUAAUGAUUAUGAAAUACCUCUAGGAGGCAUGGGAUCUACGAAGGCUCUACACAUUACUACCCGCUGCAAAGGAUAUACAUUGCCAAAAGUGUUAGUUGAUAAUGGAUCUGCACUGAACAUCUUGCUUUUUUUCAAAUCUAAAUAGAUUACCAGUCGAUAGCUCUCACAUGAAGGCAUGCUAUAAUAUAGUGAGUGCAUUUGAUGGUACAGAAAUACAGUGAUAGGGAGGAUUAAAAUACUACUCUUAAUUGGUCCUAAUACAUAUAAGGUUGCCUCUUUUGUAAUGGAUAUCAAACCCUCCUUUAACAACUUGUUGUGUAGGCCUUGGAUUCAUUCGGCUGGGGUAGUGCCGUUGUCACUGCACCAAAAACUGAAGUUUGUAACAGAGUUCGACUGGUAACGAUAAACGUUGAAGAUGAUAUCAUUGCAUCCGUAACUAGUGGCGCACCAUACAUAGGAGUGGACGAAGAGGUAAUAAAAUGUUCUUUUUGAUCACUAAAAUUUCUUAAUACAACUUUUAUUGUUGAAGGAAAGAAGAUCCUAGUGCCAAAAAUAUCCAAGAAUAUGAGGAUGGGUCUACAGUAGACGGUAGGGAAAAGAGCCUUACCUGGAAGAGGGCUCAGAAUAUAUCUCCAAGGAAAGGUCAAUGCACCAAUGCUGAUGGACAAACAAGACUGUUUUGGCUUAGGGUACAAGCCAGAUGCAAGACAGAAGAAGAAAGAAUUAGAAAAGAAGCAAGAAAGAAGAAAAGCAUGACUAAGUAGGGGAGAGGUCAAAUGGGAACCGAUGAUCUUUCCUCAUAUAUCUAAAAUAUUCGUAUCAGGUGAAAUCAUUUAUCUUGAAUGAAAAAUGGUAGAAAAAAAGCCCGUUAACCAAAACUGCAGAAGGAAUGUUGGGAAACUUGAGCAUAAAUACCAUAUCCGAAGAAAGAAUUGGGGAAGAAAACCUAUCAGGAAUUUGUCCUUAUAUCUUUGGAAGUGUUCUGAAACUACGAAAGAGAUCCCUGUAAUUUUUAGGAUUAUUUCAGAGUAAUGUUCAAAACACACAUGUUGCUCUAAGCCUAGGAGCAAUAGGAAUCCUUUUAUGAAAAUGGCAUAUGUCCACCAUUUUUAUUUCAAUAAAAACAAUACAUCUUUGUGUCCCAUUUGACAAAUAUUCUUUUAUUUUUUUCAUUUCAUUCAUGCUCAUACCACAUAGAUAAUUAUUCUUAAAUUUAUUUAUUCUUUAGGUCUUCUUUUAUUCUUAUAACAAUUCUAUGGAUAUCAAUGAUAGGAGCAAUGCUGCUGCGGACUCAGAGUUUCCUUUUGGGUAGGAUAUGUGUCCAGAAGAACCUUAGGACUUUGAAGAUGAUCGAAACUGCAACUUAUCUCCUGAUUUGUUAAGGAUGGUAAAACAAGAUGAGAAACAAAUCCUACCUCACAAAGAGUCAGUGGAAAUCGUGAGCUUAGGGGAUGAACAAGAAAAGAAAGAGAUGAAAAUCAAAACUUACAUCACUGCAGAGACAAAGUGAGACCUCAUUGAGUUACUCUAAAAAUUCAAAUAUGUCUUUGCAUGGUCAUAUCAAGACAUGCCUAGUCUAAGUAUCGAUAUUGUAGUACACCAGCUUCCCAUAAAAGAAUAAUGUAAGCCAAUUCAACAGAAACUGCAAAGGAUGAAGCCCGACAUCUUGUUGAAAACAAAAUAAGAGGUCAAGAAACAAUUUGGCGCUGGUUUCCUACAAGUGGUUAAAUACUCAGAGUGGGUAGCCAAUAUAGUCCUCGUCUCUAAGAAAGAUGGAAAAGCACGAAUGUGUGUAGACUAUAGGGAUUUAAACAAAGCCAGCCCAAAUGAUAAUUUUUUGUUGCCUUAUACCGAUACCUUAGUACACAAUACGGCAGGUUAUUCACUAUUCACCUUCAUGGAUGGCUUCUCCAAAUAAAAUGAGAUAAAAAUGCAUCCUGAAGAUAUGGAAAAGGCUACAUUCGUAACAAUAUGGAGAACAUUUUACUAUAAAGUGAUGUCAUUCAGACUAAAAAAUGCAGGAGCAACAUAUCAAAGAGUCAUGGUAACUUUGUUUCAUAACAUGAUACAUAAAGAAAUUGAGGUUUAUGUCGAUGAUAUGGUUGCGAAAUCCCGAACAAAAAAAGUAUGUGAAAGUCUUGAGGAAAUUGUUUUUAAGGUUGAGAAAAUUUUAGCUAAAGCUGAAUCCAGCAAAAUGUACUUUCGGGGCUAUAUUGGGUAAAUUACUAAGAUUUGUAGUGAGCAAGAAAUGGAUUGAGAUUGACUCGGAUAAAGUCAAUGCCAUACAGGAGUUGCCUCUACCGUGCACCAAAAGUAGGUCCGGGGUUUCUUAAGGAGAUUAAAUUACAUUUCUCGGUUCAUUACACAACUAAUAGAGAAAUGCAACCCCAUAUUUCAUCUCCUUAAGAAACAUAAUCCAGGUGUAUGGGAUGAGGAAUGCUAGAAAACCUUCAACAAGGUUAAACAUUACUUGUCCAAUGCCCAGUGCUAAUGCCACCUAGCCCAGAUAAGCCAUUGAUACUGCACUUGGUAGUAUUUGGGAAUUCUAUGGGAUGUGUCCUUGGUCAACAUAAUGAGAUAAGGAGGAAAGAAAGAGCGAUAUAUUACCUCAACAAGAAGUUCCCUAAAUGUGAGACAAGAUAUUCGCUAAUUGAAAAAUUGUGUUGCGCCUUAAUCUGGACAACCCAAAGGCUGAGACAAUACAUGUUGUACUAUACGACUUGGCUCAUCUUGAAAAUGGACUUUCUAAAGUAUAUGAUGGAGUUGACCUCAUUGAUUGGAAGAAUGGUCCGGUGGUAAAUUUUGCUCUCCGAAUUUGAUAUAAUCCAUGUAAACCAGAAGGUAAUAGGGUAGUGCAAUAGCGGAUUUCUUAGCUAGCAGAGCUUUAGAGGAUUACGAGCCUUUAAAUUUUAAUUUUCCAAAUGGGGAUCUGAUGUAUGUUGCAACCACUGAAGAAUGUGCUCUAAGAGAAUAUCCCUAAAAAAUAAAUUUUGACGGAGUCUCAAACGCUAUGGGUACUGAAACUGGGGCAGUCCUGGUAUCCUCAGAUGGAGAUCAUUAUCCUCUCACCAGUAAACUUGACUUUGAUUGCACAAAUAACAUGGCAGAAUACAAAGCAUGCAUCUUAGGUAUUCGUCCAGCUAUAGAAUGUAAGAUCAAGGUGCUAGAGGUAUAUGGGAAUUCUAUGCUAGUGAUUUAUCAACUCAAAGAUGAAUGGGAGACGAAAGAUCCCAAUUUGAUCGAUUAUCAAACACUGGUCUUUGAGUUAAUUAAGAAGUUUAAUGACAUCACCUUCUUCUACCUCCCGUGAGAUGAAAAUCAAAUAGCUGACGCCUUGGCUACUUUAACUUUAACUUCCAUUGUUAAAGUGAACAAAUAAGAGGAUGUAAAACCUAUCCAAAUGAGUAUUUAUGAGGCUUCGGCCCAUUGUUACAACAUCGAGAAAGAAGAAAAGGAUGAUCACCUUUGGUACCACGACAUACUGCAAUAUGUAAAGAAUCGUGAAUACCCUAAGUAGGCAACCUAGAAUGAUAAAAGGAUACUAAAGAGACUGGCUAAUGAGUAUAUCUUAGAUGGGGAGAUCCUAUACAAAAUAAGAAAGGAUCAGGUGUUAUUAAGGUGUGUAGGCGCUACUGAGCCCAAGAAAAUCUUAGAAGAAGUCCAUGAAGGAGUUUUGCGAAACACAUGCUAAUGGUUUUACAAUGGCCAAGUAAAUCAUGAGAAUCGAAUAUUAUUAGUCCACCAUGGAAGGUGAUUGUAUUAAUUAUGCCAAGAGAUGUCAUAAAUGCCAAAUUUAUGGAGAGAAAAUUCAUGUACUGCAUUCACCUCUUCAUGUUAUUACUUCUCCAUGGCCUUUCUCUAUGUGGGGCAUGAAUUUCAUUAGGUCGAUCUCGCCAAAAGCUUUAAAUAGGCACCGAUUAAUCUUUGUGGUCAUCAAUUACUUCACUAAAUGGGUAGAAGUCACUUCCUAUGCCAAUGUUACAAAGUCGACAGUCAACAAAUUCCUGAAGAAAUAGAUCGGUAGGAAAUACCAGAAAGGAUCAUAUCUGAUAAUACAUUAAAUUUGAACAAUAGCACGAUAGCGGAGGUUUGUAGUCAAUUCAAGAUCAAACAUCACAACUUAUCACCAUAUCACCCAAAAAUGAAUGGUGCAGUGGAGGUAGCCAAUAAGAACAUUACGAAGAUUGUGGGAAAAAUAACAGAGACUUAUAAGGAUUGGCAUAAGAAGUUACCAUUUGCCCUCUAUGAUUAUCAAAUGUCUGUCAAAACCUCUAUAGGGGCAACACCAUUCUCAUUGGUUUAUGGAAUAGAGGUAGUCUUGCUCUUCGAGUUUUAUCAGAUUUGAAGUUAGCUGAAGUAAAAUGGAUUCAAUCUCGAUAUGAUCAGUUGCACUUGAUCGAAGAGAAGAGGCUAAAAGCUAUCCGUCAUGGUCAGAAAUACCAAAAACGAAUUAUGCGAGCUUAUGAAAAAAAUGUUCGCCCUAGAGAAUUUCAUGGCCUAGUGUUGAAAAAGAUCUUUCCCAUACAAAAAGACUUGAAAGGAAAAUGGCUGUCGAAUUGGGAAGGACCUUAUUUGAUAAAAAAUGUAUUUUCUAUAGGAGCACUGAUUUUGACCGAGAUGGAUGGUAAAUACCUACCCAAUCCUGUGAACUCAGAUUCAGUUAAGAAGUACUUUACCCCUAAACAAAGGAAGAGGCUAAGGCGAAAACUCGCAAAGGGCGCCUUGAGACCAAAGGGGUUUGAGUUGAAAACUUGGGAAAGGGCGGCUUAAAUUUUGAUCGAAAAUUGGGUAUUUGGUAGUCUUGUCCCCUCAGAGGUAAUAGGGAGGAGAAAAUUUGCAUCUUGGAGCAUCAAUGAAAUACUCUAGACCUCCUAGACUCAUAUCAGGCUCAAAAUGGAUCUUAAAAAGUUUGUGCGAAGAACCUUAUGCUGUGAUAUCUGGGGCACCCAGUCUCAUUUUUACCUAUUUUGUGUUUUAACAAUGUUUUCUAUUUUGGUUAAUCCUUUUAUUUAGAGCUUUGCACCUAAUAAAUUUCAGUCUUAUCCAUUGCUAUAAUCUUUUUCAAGCAUUUUUGCAUUGAAAUAACGACUAAUAGACUAAUAAUAUUCAAGUGAAAAGAUUUCUGCAUAUCGCUCUAAAAACUUUCUAAAUAGUUCAGGGACUCGAAAUAGGACCACUACUUGGAAGUAAUCGAAUUUUGAAGAUUAGAAAGAUCCUACAAUGAGUAGCUCAAAUUGUAAUCAUCGUUUCAGGUUGCCUAUCAAAGAUACCAAACUCGAGUAGAAUGUAUGGUAAAACCUGGAUGAACUACGAGCCACAUCCUAAACGUUAAAAGACAAACCAUUCUAAAAAAUAACAUACUGCAUUCAUUAUUCAUAUACAUCUAUUUGAGAGCAUUUGAUUCAUUCUAAUCAUAACAUCCUAAUUUCUUGGCAAAACAUAAGCAUAUAGCUUCUACAGGUCUUGUUCCCCAGAAAAGUGGUGUAACAGACCCAUGAAACAAUACAAAUUCUAUACCCCUAAAGUUGUAGUAGGUCAGAUUGAAGUUACCAUAGGGAAUCUUAUCUCUCUGAAGUUGCAGUGAAGCAAGAUGAAGCUACAAAUCUUAUCUCCUUGAAGUUGCAGUGGAGAGGAUGAAGCUACAAAUCUUAUCUCCCUAAAGUUGUAGUGGAGCAGAUUGAAGCUACAAAUCCUAUACCCCUAAAGUUACAGUGGGUUGGAUUGAUUCUACUAUAGCGAAUCUUAUCUCACUGAAGUUUCUAUGGAGCAGAUUGAAGCUACAAAUCCCAUACCCCUGAAUUUGCAGUAGGUCGGAUUGAAUCUACCAUAGCGAAUCUUAUCUUACUGAAGUUGCAGUUAAACAGAUUAAAGCUACAAAUCUUAUUUCACUGAAGUUAUAGUGUAGCAGAUUGAAGCUACAAAUCCUAUACCCUUGAAGUGGCAGUGGAUCGGAUUGAAUCAACCAUAGUGACUCUUAUCUCCUUGAAAUUGUAGUGGAAUAGAUUGAAACUAUAAAUCUUAUACCUCUAAAGUUGCAAUGGGUUAGAUUGAUUCUACUAUAGUGAAUCUUAUCUCCCUUGUAACAACUUGAUUUUUAGUAAUGUCAGAAACAGUGGUUUGAGACCACCAAAUUCGAAAAUUGAGCUCGUAAAAUUUAUUAUUUAGUGUUUAUAAACCAAAUGUAAUUUUAGAAAGACUUUUGAAUUAGUAAUUUGUGUUUUAAAACGGGGUAUCGAGACCUUAAUUUUAUAAACUGAGUCAUAAAUUUUUUUAUAAAUAUUUACGGAGUGUUAUUAAGUUAGUAUUCAAGUUUCGUUAGAAAAUUUUAACGUUUUGAUAGUUAGUUAAUUAAAAAUGACUAAAUUGGAAAAGGUGCAAAACUUACUAAUUUAAGAAAUAGGGAUUAAGUAGCUUAAGUGGUAAAUAAGGGAGGACCAAAAAGGCAAUUAAACACCUAUUAGAAGGUUGAGAUGGCAUAUGCAGAGAAAAAUCUUGAAAUUUGGUGACCUAGGGGCAAAAUGGUCAUUUGUGAAAAUAAGGUAAAACUUAAAACAAAGACCAAAUUAAAUUUCUAAACAUUUCUUCACCAAUAUUCAGUCCAAAAUGCCAUAGGAGGUCCUCCAAAAGCUGUUUUUUCAUAUUUUUACACCAUGUUAGUUCAAUUCUUGCUCUUUUCUUGAAAUUUUUGUGUUUUUAAGACUUUUACAAUUAGGUCCAACUAUUUAUGUCAUUAGUUUUUGAUUUUAUGGGUAAUUUUGAAAGUUGUCAUUGAUGAGUUCUGGAUGUUUGUGGUGAAUUAACAUGGAUUUAGAGCUUUAAUUUUUUUAUAUGAUGAUUUUAUCAAGUGAUUUCAAUAGAAAUUGAUUUUAGGACCAAAUUGUGAAAAGAUUAAAUAUUAGGGUUUGAUACUAAAAUUUUAUUGAUUAAAGGCUAUAUGAUAGCUUAGAAUAUUUAGAUAAAUUAUCAAUUGAGAAAAAUUAGUUCAUUUGAUAGACUAACUGGUGAUAGACUAAAUUGUAAAAACUGUAAAGGUUGGGGUAAUUGUGAAAUUUUGAAACUUGAAGGGUAUUAAUUGUGAAGUGAAUUGGACUGAAAAUAUGCUAAUAAAUGAAUAAUUUUACAUUUUAGAUGAAGAGCCCAUAGACAAACGAGAAAAAAAGAAAAGAACAGAAUAGUCUCUAAACUACUACAAAUCUUACAAUUUAAUCUAGGUAAGUUCGUAUGGUUAAAAUUUAAUGUUUAUUUAUUAAAUUGAUGAAGGUUAUUAUGUAUUUAUUCAUAUCUAUUUUUGAAAAAUAAAAUUAUUGUUAAAUUAUGAAAUUGAUUUGAAUGUUCAAAAUUGAGUGGAAACGCAAAGAUUGAGUACAAUUGUUAUUUGGUAAAGGAUGAAUUGACAGAAAAUGUAAAGGCUGAAUUGGCGGAAAAUGUAAAUGAUGAUUGACGAAAAAUUACCUAAGUAAACCGAGGUUCAACAUUUGUUGCGAACUUUCAUGUUUACUUUUCGUUUAGCUCUCUCGAGCAUCUCUAACUUAUAUGAGUUUUCGUUUAACCCUAAUAGGUUUUCGUUCAGUUCCUAUGAGUUCUGUUCAACCCUUACGGGUUUCUGUUUAGCACUUAGGUGCUUUUGUGAACCCUUUGGACUUCUGAAUACGAUGUACUCAUAUCUGUAAGUCGUUUUCUAAUCCGAUAAAGUUUGGUAAAAGAUUGAUGUGAUUGAAAUUGAAAUAUUUAUCAUUUAUUUUUUAUAUUGGUUUGAUGGAAAAGUAAUCAUCGAAUUAUGUUGUUUUUGACAGGAAGAAUGUAUUAUUAAUUUAUUAUUGAAUUUACUAUGUUAAGUUCGGUAAGAUUUAUGUUUAAAGCCAACGAACUUAAUAAGCUUCAUUAAGCUUACUUGUGUUAUUUAAUGUUCUUUGUAGAUUUUCGAGAAGUUGGGAGAUCAAAUCAACACAUCGAGUCACACUAUCCAACUUGCUCCGGUACAUUUUGCUAUACAUACUAUGGUUUAUAUGGCAUGUAUAUGGAUUGAAAUGGUUGUGUAAAUGUUAAGAAUUACAUUUUGUUUAUGUUUCAAGUCAACUUAUAUAUGUUUGGUUUUGUUAUGUUUAGUAUAAGUGUUGGUGUAGUUCAUGGAUGAAUUGUUUCUAAGCUAGUAGUGAAUGAAUUGAUAAAACAUGUUGAUGUAAGUAGUUACAUGUGUGAAUUAGUUUAUGUUCUAGUUUAGAAUGUUCGAAUAUAUGUGAUAAUAUAACCAUAUUAAAGUGAAGAAUUGGUUAUUUUGAAGAUCUUGUUGUGGCCUAUAAGUAUGAAAUUUGAGUUGUUUAGAUUGAAGGCAAGAAAGGGGUGAGAAAAGAGGCCAUAAAAUGGCAUAUUUUCGUCCACACGGGCAAAGUCACGGGCGUGUGUCUCAGCCAUGUGUCAUACACGUCCUGACACAUAGGCGUGUGGUAUGGUCGUGUGUCCCCUGCAUCUUAAAAUUUAAAAACAGAAUGCCCAGGUUUUUACACACGGCCUAGCACACUAGCGUGUGCCUUGGCCGUGUGACCUAUGCACCUUACACAAGGUCUAGCAUACGAGCAUGUGGCUUCACCGUGUGACCUAAGUCAGAGAGUUACACGGGUAUGAACACUGCCUGGGAUACGGCCGUGUGCCUCACAUCGAAUGCCCACACGGUCUAAGACACUGGCGCGUCUCCUGGCCGUGUGAGCCAUACAGGCUAGCCACAUGGACGUGUCUCCCCUGCACCUAGGAAAAAUUUUGGAAUUUUGGGAAAAAAAUCUCUAAGUUUCUGAUUUGAUCUCAAUUUAUUUCUAAUGCGUAUUUUAGGCCUCGAUGGCCAUAUAAGGGACAAUAUGAAUGUUUUAUGAAUGGUUCAUGAUAUGUAUAUAAAAUGUUGUGAAAUGUUCGUAUUUAAUCUAUGAAUUUUAGUAAUGCUCCGUAACCCAAUUCCGGUGACGGAUAAUAGUUAAGAGUGCUACAUCCCAAAAGUUGCAGUGGAGCAGAUUGAAGCUACAAAUCUUAUACCCCUGAAGUUGUAAUAGGUUGGAUUUAAACUACAACAACAAAUCUUAUCUCCUUGAACUUGCAAUGGAGCAAGAUAAAACUAUAACACUAAAUCUUGUCUUCCUAAAGUUAUAGCGAAUCAAAUACAAUGAAGUAAAGUAACCAAUGGAUUGAAAGAAUGAGCUACUUGAAAAAGAGGAGCACCAAAGAAGUCGAGAUUCGACAGGACCAAACAAAAUUGGCCUUUCUUAAAGUCUUUGCUCCAUUUCCAUUACACAACAACGAGUAACAAAAGGCAGCUGUCAUGGCCCAAAUCUGUUUGAUCCAAAUAAAAAAAAAACAAAAACCAAAAAUAAAUAAAUAAUAACAAAGUCCAUUUAUAAAAAUAUAUAUUAGCCCAAGUUACAGGCCCAAACCUAAACUACACUAACCCAAAUCUGCUAAACCCAAUAACAUAAAAGCCCCAAAGCCCACAACCUAAAAAUUUUAGAAAAUCCUAAAACCCUAAGUCUGUUUUCGCGUCGCGCCUCACCAGCCGGUAUGCUCAUGCCCCGAGGUCUGCCUCCCCUGCCACCAUUUCACCAAAAUGGCAAGGGGUGUGCCUCUCCACCACCAUUGACUCAUCCCCUCGCCACAGAUAUCUACAAAAAAAAAACGGAAAUCACAAACAGCCAAAUAGAAUACAAAAAGUUAAACAAAAAAGGUAGUUCAUUUCGCUUAUUUUUUUUACCGAAAAAUUAAAAAUUAAAAAUUAAAAAUUAAAAAUUAAAAUAUCUUUUUUUAUCUGUCGUUUUGUCUUCUACCGCUGUCAGAGACCAUCUCCGGCCCCUCGAAUACCUCAGAACCCAUUAGGGUUCUACCGAGGGUUCGACGAACGUGGCAAGGCUGAGGGAUUUUUUUUGUAUUUUCCCUUCCUUUUUUUUUGUAUUUUCCUUUCCUUUUUUUUUUUUGAGUUUAGAAGCCAUUAGCCUUCAGAUCUAGUUUUUGGGAGUCAAAAGGGCUAAAAAAAAAACAAAAUCUUUUACAACUUCGGCCACUGGAGGUGACGGUUACCGUCGCUGAUGACUGGUGGCCACGGCGGAGCAACGACGGCCCUGUGGCCGGACAUAGAGAUGUUUGAGAGAAAAAAAAAGAGAGAUUCAACUUUAAAUUACAUUUAAAUUUUAAUUUAAUCAUUCAUUUAUUUAAUUUCACCCCUUUUACUUACCUUUUUUUAUUUUUUAACACCUAAAUUUUAUGUUAUUUAUAUUCAUAUUUACUAUGUUUUUUUUAUAUGGUUAUUACACAUUUAUUUAUUUAUUUUGGU